CCUACGGGAGGCAGCAGUGAGGAAUAUUGGGCAAUGGGCGCAAGCCUGACCCAGCAACGCCGCGUGAAGGAAGAAGGCUUUCGGGUUGUUAACUUCUUUUCUCAGGGACGAAGCAAGUGACGGUACCUGAGGAAUAAGCCACGGCUGACUACGUGCCAGCAGCCGCGUUAGUACGUAGGUGGCAAGCGUUAUCCGGAUUUAGUGGGUGUAAAGGGCGUGUAGGCGGGGACGGAAGUCAGAUGUGAAAACCACGGGCUCAACCUGUGGCCUGCAUUUGAAACUGUGUUUCUUGAGUACUGGAGAGGUAUACGGAAUGCCUAGUGUAGCGGUGAAAUGCGUAGAUAUUAGGAGGAACACCAGUGGCGAAGGCGGUAUGCUGGACAGCAACUGACGCUGAGGCGCGAAAGCGUGGGGAGCAAACAGGAUUAGAUACCCUAGUAGUC
rnacentral:rRNA from 1 species